CCGACAGCAAUGGAAAGACAGCCACUUCACCGUGGAGAAACCCAGCGACACGGCCCAACAUCGCUGUCAAAGGGACAUGUGGACGCAGCCACCUCCUGAUGCGGCCCGUGAAGACAGGACUGCUGAGGCUGGGCAAAAAACGAAUAACCCCAUUCCCACUGGGAGAAAAGAGCAGAUAUUGUGAAUGCAAACUUGUGACACUGAAAACCCCAGACCCUGAGACUUGGUGACCGUGAUGCGACCCCCUGCCUCCUGAAAGCCAGUCAACGUUCUGUUAAUGGGUCCUGGAAACACUUGAACAGAAAAAUGUUGCUCCUUAAUGCUGAAGCUUACAAGGAGGUAAGCAGGGCCCUGUCUGCCAUUAAUGUGGGGAAAAUUAUUGCGGGUAGUUGCCAAAGUGAGUCUUUAUUCACCGGCCCAAUCACAAAAAAUAUCAAAACAGCAUGAAGGGUCUAGGAGGGUCCUGGCCCCGCUUUCACUCCUGGGCCCUCCAGACACACUGCCGGAAUCUUUUCCCUCCACCCAACUCAAGGCAGGGCAGCCCCCAACCCCAGGCCCGCAGCGGGUCCUCCCUGCACCUAACAGCUCCUUGCUCCCUCGGUGGCAGCCAAGGCACCUCCGAUUUCGCGCUGUUUUCCUGCAAGUCAGAGCCUCCACCUGCCGUAUCUGUUCCUUCCAUGUGCAGACAGCAGGCCACAGGGAAGCUUUUACUGCAGGAAGAGGAUAACGAAUCCAAACCCAAGAUGCGGAGCAGGAAGAACUGCUGAGAAUCCCAACCGCUCCUCCGCUUUUCCGGAGAUACAAGGUCAAAAGGAUAGGCAGGUUUUUCUAGGAAAACUGGAGGCCGGUGCCUCCUCUUGACACCCAAUGAAACCCUUCAUUCUGGAGCUCCCCCUAUUCUGAGCAUCCGACAGCUACGCCACCACCCCCGGAAACAGGAACACGGGAGAU